rnacentral:rRNA from 1 species
UGGGGGAUAUUGCACAAUGGGCGAAAGCCUGAUGCAGCGACGCCGCGUGGGGGAUGAAGGCCUUCGGGUUGUAAACUUCUUUUGCUCUGAACAAGGCGCACCAUGGGGUGUGUUGAGUGUAGGGGUUGAUUAGCGCCGACUAACUACGUGCCAGCAGCCGCGGUAAUACGUAGGGCGCGAGCGUUGUCCGGAAUUAUUGGGCGUAAAGGGCUUGUAGGUGGCUGGUUGCGUCUGUCGUGAAAGCUCAUGGCUUAACUGUGGGUUUGCGGUGGGUACGGGCUGGCUUGAGUGCAGUAGGGGAGGCUGGAAUUCCUGGUGUAGCGGAGGAAUGCGCAGAUAUCAGGAGGAAUACCGGUGGCGAAGGCGGGUCUCUGGGCUGUUACUGACACUGAGGAGCGAAAGCAUGGGGAGCGAACAGG